rnacentral:rRNA from 1 species
GAGUUCAAUCUCCAGCACUAAUGCACCGGAUCCCAUCAGAACUCCGCAGUUAAGCGUGCUUGGGCGAGAGUAGUCUAGGAUGGUUGACCUAUUGGAAAUUCCUCGUGUUGCACCCC